UACGUAGGAGGCAAGCGUUGUCCGGAAUUACUGGGCGUAAAGCGCGUGUAGGUGGUGGGACAAGUCUGCUGUGAAAGCGCCUGGCUUAACCGGGCGAGGUCGGCGGAAACUGUCCGACUCGAGGACGGUAGAGGGGGGUGGAAUUCCGCGUGUAGCAGUGAAAUGCGUAGAGAUGCGGGAGGAACACCGAUGGCGAAGGCAGCCCCCUGGGGCUAACACUGACGCUCAUGCACGAAAGCGUGGGGGAGCAAACAGG
rnacentral:rRNA from 1 species